CCUACGGGUGGUAGCAGUGGGGAAUAUUGGGCAAUGGGCGCGAGCCUGACCCAGCAAAGCCGCGUGAAGGAAGAAGGCUUUCGGGUUGUAAACUUCUUUUCUCAAGGACGAAGCCAGUGACGGUCCCUGCGGAAUAAGCCACGGCUAACUACGUGCCAGCAGCCGCGGUAAUCCGUAGGUGGCGAGCGUUAUCCGGAUUUACUGGGUGUAAAGGUCGAGUGGGCGGGACUGUAAGUCAGAUGUGAAAACCACGGGCUCAACAUGAGGCCUGCAUUUGAAACUGUCGUUCUUGAGUACUGGAGAGGCAGAAGGAAUUCCUAGUGUAGCGGUGAAAUGCGUAGAUAUUAGGAGGAACACCAGUGGCGAAGGCGGUCUGCUGGACAGCAACUGACGCUGAGGCGCGAAAGCGUGGGGAGCAAACAGGAUUAGAUACCCCAGUAGUC
rnacentral:rRNA from 1 species